rnacentral:tRNA from 1 species
GGGGAAUUAGCUCAGAUGGGAGAGCGUUCGGUUCGCAUCCGAAAGGUCGAGGGUUCGAGUCCCUUAUUCUCCA